rnacentral:lncRNA from 1 species
UUUUGCAUCUAUUUAUCACACGAUCUCUCUCUUUGUCUCUUUUUAGAUGUUGAAUCGUUUUAAUUAUGGUGAUUUACAGGAGACAAGGCUGAGAGCCAUAACCAUGGACUCCAUCAGACAGAUCUACCGAGCAUCUCUCGGUUUCAGUGACUCUUUCUUGGCUCAACAACAACGGCAGUGAAAAUGGCGAUUCUUGCUUGGCUCAACGGCGGCGGCUGGAGCGUGGUGAAUCGAGAGUGGUUAGGGCUGGAUGACGGGUUCGCUUGAAGCUCUGACGGUGCGAUGACAAAACUCGAGCUCGGUGGAACACCGAAAUCACCGAUGGAGACUCGCCGGAGAUGAAACCCGGAGACGUCAUCUGAAUAAUAUAUGUAUAUAUUUUAUACUUUGUAUUUUAUCUCAGUUUUUAUAGUCUGAAAAUUGUUAUUUUAAUCUAAUUUAGUAUGACAAUAAACAGUAAGUACUCUCAAGUCUUAAAAAUAAAUACAAAGCCCAAUUGUCAAUUUA